UACGGAGGGUGCGAGCGUUGUCCGGAUUUAUUGGGUUUAAAGGGUGCGUAGGUGGCUUGAUAAGUCAGUGGUGAAAUGCGGUCGCUCAACGAUCGAACUGCCAUUGAUACUGUCAGGCUUGAGACAAGUGGAGGUUGCCGGAACGGAUGGUGUAGCGGUGAAAUGCAUAGAUAUCAUCCAGAACACCGAUUGCGAAGGCAGGUGACUACGUUUGAUCUGACACUGAGGCACGAAAGCAUGGGGAGCAAACAGG
rnacentral:rRNA from 1 species